rnacentral:rRNA from 1 species
AGUGAACGCUGGCGGUAGGCCUAACACAUGCAAGUCGAACGGCAGCACAGUAAGAGCUUGCUCUUACGGGUGGCGAGUGGCGGACGGGUGAGGAAUACAUCGGAAUCUACUUUUUCGUGGGGGAUAACGUAGGGAAACUUACGCUACUACCUCAUACGACCUACGGGUGAAAGCAGGUGAUCUUCGGACCUUUCGCGAUUGAAUGAGCCGAUGUCGGAUUAGCUAGUUGGCGGGGUAAAGGCCCACCAAGGCGACGAUCCGUAGCUGGUCUGAGAGGAUGAUCAGCCACACUGGAACUGAGACACGGUCCAGACUCCUACGGGAGGCAGCAGUGGGGAAUAUUGGACAAUGGGCGAAAGCCUGAUCCAGCCAGACCGCGUGGGUGAAGAAGGCCUUCGGGUUGUAAAGCCCUUUUGAUGGGAAAGAAAAGCAGCAGGUUAAUACCCCGCUGUUCUGACGGUACCCAAAGAAUAAGCACCGGCUAACUUCGUG